rnacentral:rRNA from 1 species
CAGGAUGAACGCUAGCUACAGGCUUAACACAUGCAAGUCGAGGGGAAACGACAUCGAAAGCUUGCUUUUGAUGGGCGUCGACCGGCGCACGGGUGAGUAACGCGUAUCCAACCUGCCCAUCACUUGGGGAUAACCUUGCGAAAGUAAGACUAAUACCCAAUGAUAUCUCUAGAAGACAUCUGAAGGAGAUUAAAGAUUUAUCGGUGAUGGAUGGGGAUGCGUCUGAUUAGCUUGUUGGCGGGGUAACGGCCCACCAAGGCGACGAUCAGUAGGGGUUCUGAGAGGAAGGUCCCCCACAUUGGAACUGAGACACGGUCCAAACUCCUACGGGAGGCAGCAGUGAGGAAUAUUGGUCAAUGGGCGAGAGCCUGAACCAGCCAAGUAGCGUGCAGGAAGACGGCCCUAUGGGUUGUAAACUGCUUUUAUAAGGGAAUAAAGUGAGUCUCGUGAGGCUUUUUGCAUGUACCUUAUGAAUAAGGACCGGCUAAUUCCGUGCCAGCAGCCGCGGUAAUACGGAAGGUCCGGGCGUUAUCCGGAUUUAUUGGGUUUAAAGGGAGCGUAGGCCGGAGA